rnacentral:rRNA from 1 species
CCUACGGGAGGCAGCAGUUGGGAAUCUUGCGCAAUGGGCGAAAGCCUGACGCAGCGACGCCGCGUGAGGGAUGAAGGUCUUCGGAUCGUAAACCUCUGUCAGCAGGGAAGAACGGUCACUGUGCUAAUCAGCAGUGAAUUGACGUUACCUGCAAAGGAAGCACCGGCUAACUCCGUGCCAGCAGCCGCGGUAAUACGGAGGGUGCGAGCGUUAAUCGGAAUUACUGGGCGUAAAGCGCUCGUAGGCGGUAUGUCAAGUCAAGGGUGAAAUCCCCGCGCUCAACGUGGGAACUGCCUUUGAAACUGGCAAACUGGAGGGUGGGAGAGGAUAGUGGAAUUCCAGGUGUAGGAGUGAAAUCCGUAGAUAUCUGGAGGAACAUCAGUGGCGAAGGCGACUAUCUGGAACAUAACUGACGCUGAGGAGCGAAAGCGUGGGUAGCAAACAGGAUUAGAUACCCCUGUAGUC